UACGGAGGGUGCAAGCGUUGUUCGGAAUUAUUGGGCGUAAAGGGCGUGUAGGUGGCUUUUCAAGUCCGGUGUGAAAUCCCACGGCUCAACCUGGGAACUGCAUCCGAUACUGGAUGGCUUGAAUCCGGGAGAGGGAUGCAGAAUUCCAGGUGUAGCGGUGAAAUGCGUAGAUAUCUGGAGGAACACCGGUGGCGAAGGCGGCCCGCUGGGCAGAGACUGACGCUGAGGCGCGACAGCGUGGGGAGCAAACAGG
rnacentral:rRNA from 1 species